rnacentral:rRNA from 1 species
AAGUGUCCUGUUAAGUCAGGCAACGAGCGAGACCCUCGCUGCCAGUUGCUUCUAUGUUCCGAAAGGUACAUAGAGGAAACUGGUGGGACCGCCGCCGAUAAGGCGGAGGAAGGAGGGGGCUACGGCAGGUCAGUAUGCCCCGAAACCCCUGGGCCACACGCGGGCUGCAAUGGUGGGGACAAUGGGAUCCGAUCCCGAAAGGGGGAGGUAAUCCCGAACCCCCACCUUAGUUGGGAUCGAGGGCUGGAACCCGCCCUCGUGAACCUGGAAUCCCUAGAAU